rnacentral:rRNA from 1 species
UUUGACUGCCAAUAAAAGGUCCAGCCUGCCCAGUGACUUUGUUCAACGGCCGCGGUAUCCUAACCGUGCGAAGGUAGCGUAAUCACUUGUUCUUUAAAUGAGGACUAGUAUGAAUGGCAUCACGAGGGUUAUACUGUCUCCUCCCUUUAAUCAGUGAAACUGAUCUUCCCGUGAAGAAGCGGGAAUAAAUCUAUAAGACGAGAAGACCCUAUGGAGCUUUAAAUACACUACAAUUGCCUCACUCUCUGUAAAUCUCUGGAAAACCACUCACCCGGGCACUUUGAUAGCAAGUUUUAGGUUGGGGUGACCGCGGAGCAAAAAACAACCUCCACAGCGAACAGGGCCUUCCCUUAAACCCAGGAUUACAACCCUAAGAAUCAACAAAUUGACACCCAUUGACCCA